GUGAAACUGCAGGAAACAACAAUCGGAAAUAAAACUAGAAAAAUGUCGAAAAUAAUUUUAUUAUUAUCAAUUUUGGUAUUGUUUGUUAUCUAUCCUGGUGUAUAUGCAUCAUGUCCUGGCGGUUGGUGCCAUCCAUCACAAGGUUAUGGCUGUUGUGAAGGAAAUAUUUGCUCUUCACAUUUCUUACAAGGUACAUGCGUGACCUAUGCGGAACACGAGGCCAUGCACGCUGUGGGAAAAUGAUUAUAAUAAUUCAGUAAAAAUUUAUAAAUGUAUAAACGGAAAAAAAAAUCUGAGCCUCGAUUGGCCUUGGUUAGGAAUCAAAAUCAAGAUUUAAAUACGUUUUGACUCAUGUAACCAACAAUAUAAUAAAAAAUACCUGACAAAAAUA